rnacentral:rRNA from 1 species
UACGUAGGGUGCAAGCGUUGUCCGGAAUUAUUGGGCGUAAAGCGCACGUAGGCGGACAUUUAAGUCAGGGGUGAAAUCCCAGAGCUCAACUCUGGAACUGCCUUUGAUACUGGGUGUCUUGAGUAUGGAAGAGGUGAGUGGAAUUCCGAGUGUAGAGGUGAAAUUCGUAGAUAUUCGGAGGAACACCAGUGGCGAAGGCGGCUCACUGGUCCAUUACUGACGCUGAGGUGCGAAAGCGUGGGGAGCAAACAGG